rnacentral:rRNA from 1 species
AGUGAACGCUGGCGGUAGGCCUAACACAUGCAAGUCGAACGGCAGCACAGUAAGAGCUUGCUCUUACGGGUGGCGAGUGGCGGACGGGUGAGGAAUACAUCGGAAUCUACUUUUUCGUGGGGGAUAACGUAGGGAAACUUACGCUAAUACCGCAUACGACCUACGGGUGAAAGCAGGGGAUCUUCGGACCUUGCGCGAUUGAAUGAGCCGAUGUCGGAUUAGCUAGUUGGCGGGGUAAAGGCCCACCAAGGCGACGAUCCGUAGCUGGUCUGAGUGGAUGAUCAGCCACACUGGAACUGAGACACGGUCCAGACUCCUACGGGAGGCAGCAGUGGGGAAUAUUGGACAAUGGGCGCAAGCAUGAUCCAGCCAUACCGCGUGGGUGAAGAAGGCCUUCGGGUUGUAAAGCCCUUUUGUUGGGAAAGAAAAGCAGCAGGUUAAUACCCCGCUGUUCUGACGGUACCCAAAGAAUAAGCACCGGCUAACUUCGUG